UACGGGGGGAGCAAGCGUUGUUCGGAUUUACUGGGCGUAAAGGGCGCGUAGGCGGUCAGCACAAGUCAGUUGUGAAAUCUCCGAGCUUAACUCGGAAAGGUCAACUGAUACUGUGCGACUAGAGUGCAGAAGGGGCAACUGGAAUUCUCGGUGUAGCGGUGAAAUGCGUAGAUAUCGAGAGGAACACCUGCGGCGAAGGCGGGUUGCUGGGCUGACACUGACGCUGGAGGCGCGAAGCUAGGGGAGCGAACGGG
rnacentral:rRNA from 1 species